UACAGAGGUGGCAAGCGUUGUUCGGAAUUACUGGGCGUAAAGGGCGCGUAGGCGGCCUUCUAAGUCAGACGUGAAAUCCCCAGGCUUAACUUGGGAACUGCGUCUGAUACUGGGAGGCUUGAGUGCGGGAGAGGGAUGUGGAAUUCCAGGUGUAGCGGUGAAAAUGCGUAGAUAUCUGGAGGAACACCUACGGCGAAGGCAGCUCGCUGGGACGGUACUGACGCUGAGACGCGAAAAGCGUGGGGGAGCAAACAGG
rnacentral:rRNA from 1 species